AUGUGUUUACAACAACACGGGAGGAGAUACUCCAUUGUUGCAUUUACUACUUAACGUGUACCAAUACAUUAAGACAUUAGCAAUGUACUAAUAAUUAACGGUAAGCUUUCUUCCAAUUUUCUUAUAUAAAGCCAUAUACUACAGGUCCUACUGGUCCUAAUAAAUAGGAAGAACAAAGCGCAAAUGCCGAUAAGAAAUAUGGAGUU
rnacentral:lncRNA from 1 species